rnacentral:rRNA from 1 species
UACGUAGGUGACAAGCGUUGUCCGGAUUUACUGGGCGUAAAGAGCGCGCAGGCGGUCGUUCAAGUCGAGUGUGAAAGCCCCCGGCUCAACUGGGGAGGGUCACUCGAUACUGAUCGACUGGAAGGCAGGAGAGGGUAGUGGAAUUCCCGGUGUAGUGGUGAAAUGCGUAGAUAUCGGGAGGAACACCAGUGGCGAAGGCGACUACCUGGCCUGUUCUUGACACUGAGGCGCGAAAGCUAGGGGAGCAAACGGG